GACGAACCGUGCGAACGUUGUUCGGAAUCACUGGGCUUAAAGGGCGCGUAGGCGGCUUGUCAAGUCAGGGGUGAAAUCUUUCGGCUUAACCGGAAAAGUGCCCUUGAUACUGGCAGGCUCGAGGGAGGUAGGGGCAUGUGGAACUUCUGGUGGAGCGGUGAAAUGCGUUGAUAUCAGAAGGAACGCCGGUGGCGAAAGCGACGUGCUGGACCUCUUCUGACGCUGAGGCGCGAAAGCUAGGGGAGCAAACGGG
rnacentral:rRNA from 1 species